rnacentral:rRNA from 1 species
UACGAAGGGGGCUAGCGUUGUUCGGAAUUACUGGGCGUAAAGCGCGCGCAGGCGGUCUUCCAAGUCAGUGGUGAAAGCCCCGGAGCUCAACUCCGGAACUGCCAUUGAAACUGUAAGACUUGAGGACGAGAGAGGUGAGUGGAAUUCCCAGUGUAGAGGUGAAAUUCGUAGAUAUUGGGAAGAACACCAGUGGCGAAGGCGGCUCACUGGCUCGUAUCUGACGCUCAGGCGCGACAGCGUGGGGAUCGAAACAAGG